UGGGGAAUUUUCCGCAAUGGGCGCAAGCCUGACGGAGCAAUACCGCGUGAGGGAGGAAGGCUUUUGGGUUGUAAACCUCUUUUAUUAAGGAAGAAGAAAGUGACGGUACUUAAAGAAUCAGCAUCGGCUAACUCCGUGCCAGCAGCCGCGGUAAUACGGAGGGUGCAAGCGUUAAUCGGAAUUACUGGGCGUAAAGCGUGCGCAGGCGGCUGGCUAAGUCGGAUGUGAAAGCCCCGGGCUCAACCUGGGAAUGGCAUUCGAUACUGGACAGCUAGAGUUUGGUAGAGGUAAGUGGAAUUCCGGGUGUAGCGGUGAAAUGCGUAGAUAUCCGGAGGAACAUCAGUGGCGAGGGCGGCUUACUGGACCAAAACUGACGCUCAGGCACGAAAGCGUGGGUAGCAAACAGGAUUAGAUACCCGCGUAGUCC
rnacentral:rRNA from 1 species